rnacentral:lncRNA from 1 species
AUGUUUAUUUUUUAGUUUUCGCCGGACACAACAUCUUUGUAUGUGGUGCUGAGGAUCGAACCCGGGCCGCACGCAUGCCAGGCGAGCGCACUACCGCUUGAGCCACAUCCCCAGCCCCAGAAGAAUAAAUUUGGAAGAAUCAAACUACACAAUUUUAAGAUUUAUUAUGAAACUCCAAUAAUCAAGACAUUAUGAUGUUAUCAAAAGAACAAAAAACCAAAUCAAUAGAACACAUUAGAGUGUCCAAAAUAGACGUAGAGAUAUGUUGCCAAUUAAUUUCAGUCAGGCCACAAAAGCAGUUUAAUGGAGAAAGGGUAGUCAAUGAAUGGUGCUGGAAAAAUUUGAUAUCUAUAUACAAAACAAACAACUUUAAAAAACCAUUCAUUUACAAAAAUAAAAAUAAAAUUUAAAAUACAUAAAUAAAAUUACCUGAUAGCUGUAAGCCCAAGAAUAAUAAUAGUAUACAAUAGUAAGUGACAUCUACUGUGUCUUCUAUUGCUCAUUGUUACUAUUAUCAAGA